UUAAAGUUGUUGCAGUUAAAAAGCUCGUAGUUGGAUUUCUGGUUGAAGCGACCGGUCGGGCGUUGAUUCGUCUGCACUGGAGUCGGUUUUGGCCAUCCUCUAGGAAAGUGCGUCUGGUAUUAAGUUGUCGGGCGUAUGAUCCUGGUCUUUUACUGUGAAAAAAUUAGAGUGUUUAAAGCAGGCCUUCGCCUUGAAUACAUUAGCAUGGAAUAAUAAGAUAGGACUUUGGUCUAUUUUGUUGGUUUGCAGACCGAAGUAAUGAUUAAUAGGGAUAGUUGGGGGUAUUUAUAUUCCGAUGUCAGAGGUGAAAUUCUUAGAUUUUCGGAAGAUAAACUUAUGCGAAAGCAUUUACCAAGGAUGUUUUCAUUAAUCAAGAACGAAAGUUAGGGGAUCGAAGAUGAUUAGAUACCAUUGUAGUCUUAACCAUAAACUAUGCCGACUCAGGAUUGGUGGACGUUUAUUUAAUGACUCCAUCAGCACUGUAUGAGAAAUCAAAGUCUUUGGGUUCCGGGGGGAGUAUGGUCGCAAGGCUGAAACUUAA
rnacentral:rRNA from 1 species